rnacentral:lncRNA from 1 species
CAGCCGCAGGUGCGUGUUCCUGAGGAGGGAAGGGGCCAGGCAGCACCCAGGGCCCCAGCUGCCCUUGCUCGGUGGCUCUCAUGGGAAAUGACCUGGGUCCUCUCACCUGCAGGUGGGAGGGCAGGGCAGGGGCUGCGCCCACCGCCUGGUCCUCAGCGAGGCCUCAACAAGCCCAGCAGGUGUGGGAGUUGCAGACCCCCACCAGAAGCACCGGCCUCCCGCCUGGGUAGCCUCCUGGCCUCCCUGCCUCCUGACCUCCUGGCCUUCACUCCUGCGCCUGGCUUCCCAAUGGGGAUUUUAAAAAGAGCACGAAGAUGAAGCCUCUUCACCCUCUGCUCACCUUCUGUCUACAGAGCACCGUGGGCUCAUUUCCCAACGAGGAGAUGGAGGCGGGCAGGGGAGGCUGAGCCCCCUCUGGCCACUGCCAUAGUGUGAUCUGGAAGGUCUCCAACGGCCCCGUGGGAGGUUUGGUCCCCAGAGCCACUGGGAGGUGCUGGAGCCUUGAAGAGGUGGGGCCUGGGGGGAGGCCUUUAGGUGUUGGGCGUGGCCUCGUGGGGAGGGCGGGGCCUGGCUACUGCCUCCCACAGGCCCACGGUGACAGUGAGGCCGCACACCGGGACCUCUGAAACGCCGGCCCAAACAGGACUUGUGUCCUGGAUUACUGCUGAAGGGGACCUACCUGCACUAGGACAACCCUGCCAAGUGGCCUGGGCCGGCUUCCCCUCGGACUCAGCUUUCCUCUUCCACCCAGGCGCUCACUCGCUCCUUGGCUGGGGUCCUCCUUGGCUGGGGUCCUCCUUGGCUGGGGUCCUCGCAGGACCCACAAGCUGCCCGAGCCCCAUCCCUCUCCUCUUCCUCUCCCCUCCCCCUGCCUCACUGCCCCUCGAACACUCCCGACUCAGCCCUGCCCCAGGGCCUUUGCACGCUGGGCCCUGCACCCGGAGUGCCGCCGCACCCCAGGUCCACUGUCCUCACUCUGUCCCCUUCAGAUCUGUGCUCAGGAGCCACUCCUCAGAGGUGCCCUCCUCGACUGCCGGCCACCCCUCCUGCUCGUGGCCCUCCUGCCCUCCUUCCCGUGGUGACAUCCCCGGGGGUAGAUACAGUCGACCUGGUGGUCACAGGGCCUCGCUGUGACAUCUGACCUGAGGCUUGAGUGAUGACAACGUUGCCCGUGAAGACCUCGGGCUUGACUCCGAGGGAGGGCGGCCGUGGAGGCCCGGCCGGCUGUGGGCCCUGGGAGGACCCGGCUGGCUGCUCCCGGACGCCCUCUGGCGGCUGCUUCGGGGAGGAGCGACGCGGGG